rfam:TPA: Bos taurus chromosome 15, whole genome shotgun sequence.
UCCUUGGUGGUCCAGUGACUAAGACUCCACGCUCCCAAUGCAGGGAGCCCAGGUUCGAUCCCUGGUCAGGGAA